CGUGUAGGCGGCUUGGCAAGUCGGUUGUGAAAUCCCUUGGCUUAACCAAGGAACUGCAACCGAUACUGAGAGACUUGAGUGCAGGAGAGGAAAGCGGAAUUCCCGGUGUAAGAGUGAAAUCUGUAGAGAUCGGGAGGAACACCAGUGGCGAAGGCGGCUUUCUGGUCUGCAACUGACGCUGAAAUGCGAAAGCUAGGGGAGCAAACAGGAUUAGAUACCCUGGUAGUCC
rnacentral:rRNA from 1 species